rnacentral:rRNA from 1 species
UGCAAGUCGAACGAUGAACCUCACUUGUGGGGGGAUUAGUGGCGAACGGGUGAGUAACACGUGAGUAACCUGCCCUUGACUCUGGGAUAAGCCUGGGAAACUGGGUCUAAUACCGGAUAUGACUCCUCAUCGCAUGGUGGGGGGUGGAAAGCUUUUUGUGGUUUUGGAUGGACUCGCGGCCUAUCAGCUUGUUGGUGAGGUAAUGGCUCACCAAGGCGACGACGGGUAGCCGGCCUGAGAGGGUGACCGGCCACACUGGGACUGAGACACGGCCCAGACUCCUACGGGAGGCAGCAGUGGGGAAUAUUGCACAAUGGGCGAAAGCCUGAUGCAGCGACGCCGCGUGAGGGAUGACGGCCUUCGGGUUGUAAACCUCUUUCAGUAGGGAAGAAGCGAAAGUGACGGUACCUGCAGAAGAAGCGCCGGCUAACUACGUGCCAGCAGCCGCGGUAAUACGUAGGGCGCAAGCGUUAUCCGGAAUUAUUGGGCGUAAAGAGCUCGUAGGCGGUUUGUCGCGUCUGCCGUGAAAGUCCGGGGCUCAACUCCGGAUCUGCGGUGGGUACGGGCAGACUAGAGUGAUGUAGGGGAGACUGGAAUUCCUGGUGUAGCGGUGAAAUGCGCAGAUAUCAGGAGGAACACCGAUGGCGAAGGCAGGUCUCUGGGCAUUAACUGACGCUGAGGAGCGAAAGCAUGGGGAGCGAACAGGAUUAGAUACCCUGGUAGUCCAUGCCGUAAACGUUGGGCACUAGGUGUGGGGGACAUUCCACGUUUUCCGCGCCGUAGCUAACGCAUUAAGUGCCCCGCCUGGGGAGUACGGCCGCAAGGCUAAAACUCAAAGGAAUUGACGGGGG